GAAGGAGACAUGACCUCCAACAUGAGUGUGUCUGGGAAACAGGACUUAAAGAAAGACGAGAGAAUGAUGAAGAGAAAGAGAUCAGACUCACCAGAACCCAGCUGUGUGUCCAUGAAGAGUGACGCGUCAAUGGGGAAUCCAAUUAACUUCAGAGACAGAGACAGUUGUACUGAUGUGAGACCACAAAAAUCAAACAUCAGCACAAAACAGCUGGACUCUAUAUUCAAGGAGCUGGAACA